rnacentral:rRNA from 1 species
UACGUAGGGUGCAAGCGUUAAUCGGAAUUACUGGGCGUAAAGCGUGCGCAGGCGGUUUUGUAAGUCUGUCGUGAAAGCCCCGGGCUCAACCUGGGAACUGCAUUUGUGACUGCAAGGCUAGAGUACAGCAGAGGGGGAUGGAAUUCCGCGUGUAGCAGUGAAAUGCGUAGAUAUGCGGAGGAACACCAAUGGCGAAGGCAAUCCCCUGGGCCUGUACUGACGCUCAUGCACGAAAGCGUGGGGAGCAAACAGG